AGGAGCAGAUGGCUCUGCCUGGAGAGCUCCUUCCCUGCGAGGUUUUAUUUAUUUCUCUUCUUCCUGCCUGCACUUCAGAUGUUUGAAUGGGCACGAGGCAAAUGCUUUUUAUUCCUCUGCUGUUCCAAGGAGUGAUCCUGCAAUCCUGCAGCUUUUUUUUUGAGCAGAGAGGGCUUUAAUUAAACUCUUCAGGGGGAAUUUGCUUGAUUGUAUCACAAUGGCAGAAGUGAAGAGGAAGAUGUGCUGAGGAUAAUGAGUGCUGAGACAGUGGAAAUGGGAGGUUUGUUUGCAGUGGAAAAGGAGGAGCUCCCAGAGCAGCAGCAGGAGAUUCAAACCCUCCAGAUUCAGCCUUAAAUCAGGCAAACAAUCCCCUGCAGGGACCUGACCUGGCUCAGGAACAAAACUCUUCCUGACCCUCCUUUUCCCUGGAAUGUCCCAAAUAUCCCCCUGGCAGCAGGAGCUGGGCUGGGCUGGGUUGAGGAUCUGCACAGAGGUGAGGAAUCCAUGGGAAAAGCUCAGAGCAAACAAAGCAACAGAGAGCUCCAGAGUGAAAAUGCCGCGAGGAAUCACAAAUCAAGACUACUCACUUGAACUCAGCCUAAAGUGAAGCUUCAAAAAGCCUGGAGGGGAGUGCAGAUUACAAAGGAAUCCCACCUGGUCUGGGCAUUCCAAGGAGAGCUUUUCCCCUGCUGGAGCCUGGCAUCUGGGGUGCAGUGCUGGAGGAGAGCCUGGAAGCUUCCAGUUAAAUUAUUCCUGAGUUUGUGCAGGGUGGGGUUAGCCCUGGCCUCCAAGAGGAGCCACUUUGCCUCGUGAAAAAAACAACCCCAUUUUCUUCUCUUGCUGCUUUUCCUGCUGGUUUGCUGCCCGUGCCCCGGAGUGUCUGAGAGAUUUCCCUCCUGGAGAAGGACCCUGGGCUGGAGGGAGCCCCACACCCACAGGUAACUGCUGCCAGGGCGUUUUCACAGAACCACAGAAUAAUAGAACCACAGAAUCGCAGAGCCACAGAAUCCCAGAAUAAUAGAAUCACAGAAUCAACAAUCACAGAAUCACAGAAUCACAGAAUCACAGAAUCACAGAAUCACAGAAUCACAGAA